rnacentral:rRNA from 1 species
AUUGAACGCUGGCGGCAGGCCUAACACAUGCAAGUCGAGCGAGCGGCGGACGGGCGAGUAAUGCCUAGGAAACUGCCUGAUGGAGGGGGCUAACUACUGGACACGGUAGCUAAUACCGCAUACUAUCUGAUGUGCCUAGAUGGUCUUCGCUAGUUGGUGUGGUAACGGCUCACCUAGGCGACGAUCCCUAGCUGCUCUGAGUGGAUGACCAGCCACAAUGGAACUGAGACACGGUCCAGACUCCUACGGGAGGCAGCAGUGGGGAAUAUUGCACAAUGGGCGCAAGCCUGAUGCAGCCAUGCCGCGUGUGUGAAGAAGGCCGUCGGGUUGUAAAGCACUUUCAGCGGGGAGGCGUUACCCGCAGAAGAAGCACCGGCUAACUCCGUGCCAGCAGCCGCGGUAAUUC